GCAUACGUCCUACGGGAGAAAGCAGGGGAUCUUCGGACCUUGCGCUAAUAGAUGAGCCUAAGUCGGAUUAGCUAGUUGGUGGGGUAAAGGCCUACCAAGGCGACGAUCUGUAGCGGGUCUGAGAGGAUGAUCCGCCACACUGGGACUGAGACACGGCCCAGACUCCUACGGGAGGCAGCAGUGGGGAAUAUUGGACAAUGGGGGGAACCCUGAUCCAGCCAUAGCGCGCGUGCGAAGAAGGCCUUAUGGUGUAAA
rnacentral:rRNA from 1 species